AUUCCUACGGGAGGCAGCAGUGAGGAAUUUUCCACAAUGGUCGCAAGACUGAUGGAGCAACGCCGCGUGCAGGAGGACGCUUUUCGGAGUGUAAACUGCUUUUCCCAGGGAAGAGAGAGGACGGUACCUGGGGAAUAAGCCCCGGCUAACUACGAGCCAGCAGCCGCGGUAAUAAU
rnacentral:rRNA from 1 species